AUUGCUUCGUACGUGUAAGAAGCCCAAAAACAUAUCGAGAAAGCAGAGGGCGGAUUCAGCCGUGGGGCAAAACCCAUCGUCAAUCUUUCUCCUCGACCCCUCCACUUCGCAAGGUCCUGACUCCUAUAACAGCGCCGCCGCUCCGAUGCCUUACUGAUUCCAAGGUCGCCAUCGGCCAUUAAUGGAGAUUAAAGGCGAAAAUCCAUUCCCAAAUCGUCUCUCCUUCCUUUCUCAGUGUUCGUCUCGUUCCCCAACAAUCAGAUGUUGGAGAUGUGGAGACGGUGUUCUUCUAAUAUUAACUGGAUCUAAGUGUGAGAGAGUCCUCGGGAGUCAGGAGAUUAGAAGAACUGCAGAAUGGGGAAAUUAUUCAGUUCUUGGUGUCGUCUUCUCGUUCGUGCUGACUACUGCAACCUGCGGAUCUGGCAACCUACAUCCACAUGAAUACAUAUUUAGGCCACAGCUGAAUCCAUGGCGAAAUGCUUCCUGGUGCUCGUCUUCAUGGCAUUUCUCCUGCCGGCGGCCUACGCGAUGUGCCACCCUGACGACCUCCAAGCGCCGCGGGGCUU